rnacentral:lncRNA from 1 species
AAAUUGAGAGAGUAGAAAAUAAUUGAUAUUGCGCUCAGUGGUUUAAGGCUUUAAGCACUGAACAGCGAAAGCUUCGGCCUGCUGGGCAUUCCAUUCCAUCAAAGCAAAGAAAUAACUUGUAGAAAAUAAAACCCAAAGACCUCUAUUUACUAAUCUUGUCACGGUCAAGCUGUUCUUCUCCACCACGAAUCUUGCCAUUGACAGAGGAAGCAAUACCACAAGCCCAAGAACAAACAAACAC